ACAAGUCUGUCUGCUCUUUAAUGCCUCAUUUGUCUUGGCACAAAGACACAUGAUUAGGCUCAGAGUGGCAUGUUUUGGCAAGGAGAGAAUGGGCAAGAGGUCAUCGAUGGACCGGAGAUGGGAUGGUAGGGACAGAAACUGCAGGGUCCGCAGAAGGAACUGCUCACCGGAAGCCAACAAGCUUGCCCUGUGGAAUCCCAGAAAGGCCCAGGAACUUCGGGACAUCACUGAAGGCAGAGUGAGGAGAGGAAGAGAGGACAGAGAAAUGGAGGGGAGAAAACUAUUAAAAUAAGUAAUAAGAAAACUUUCCCCAGAAGUGCAGAAUCUGAAUUUCCAGUAUAAAAGGGUCCAUUGAGCGCCAAGAACAAUGAGGGAAAAAAGGUCCCACUCAGGCCUACAUAUCAUUGUGAAAUUUCAGAACUCCAGGGAUAAAGAAAAGAUCCUAAAAGCUUCCCGAGAGAUAAAAAAGAAGAUUUUUACAAAGGAUCAGCAAUCAGAAUUGCCUCAGACUGCUCAAUAAAAACAUCAGAAGCUAGAAGAAAAUAGAGUGAGGCAUCAAAAUCCUGAGGGAAAUGAUUCCCACCUAAAAUUUAAUAUUCUGCUCAAUUAUCAAUUAAGUAUUGAAGGGAAAUAAAGACAUUUUUAGACA
rnacentral:lncRNA from 1 species